rnacentral:misc_RNA from 1 species
UGCACGUCUCCGCCCUCCCAUUGGCUGUGACGGCGCGUGUGUGCCUGGCUGAGCCCGUUGCCCGAGGCCUCCCCGUGUGCACUGCACUGCAAAGCCCUGCUCAUUCCCCGCUCCUCUCCAAGUAGCGCGGGUCUCGCAGGGAGACACGACGCGCAAAGACGUAGGAGGGGGAGGUGCUCGCUCAACAAAACGAGCUGACCGCGUACAACUGCUUUCACCUCGCCCGCCACCCUUCCUGCUGGGGCACGCACGCCUGUUGUGCCCGAGUAAGAGAGAGCGCUCAUCGCGAUGCCUCAGCCUGGUGCCAGCCACAGCAGAUCCACUAUUGGGGCAGCGGUCGGCUUCACUGUGCAUCUGGUUUGCCCCCACUGUGCCAAGGAGUUCACCGGCAAUUCCAGCACGAGCGGCGUGCGCAGCAACUACCGACGCCACCUUCUCACCCACACUGGCGAGCGGCCCUUCCCAUGCUCAUAUUGCCACCAACGCUUUACCACGAAGCCAAACCUCCGCCGGCAUGUGCGGCUGGUUCACCCGCUCCAGGCGACCCCGUCUACCCAGGUACGCCACCCAGACGGCAGAGAGGCCGCAGAAGAUGUGGCGGCAGCCGCACCCCCACCGCUGCCGGAGAUGCACCUGCCUCCCGCCACCACGGCGAAUGUAGCACCGCCUGCCUCCGCCGGAAGUACAGCAGCAACAGCCAACGUAAAACCUGGCCCGUCUUGCCCGCUGCUGCUGCCUCGGCGAGCGGACCCUGCCGCCUUCACCUGUGAGGACUGCGAGUUGGAGAUCUGCAGUCGCGCCAAGCUGCGUCGGCACAGGCGAUACUACUGCCCCUUUCGCGAAAACAUCUUCGCCGACCCGGUGAAGGACGCCGUGGACCUGUAUUGGACGCAGCAACAACAGCGGGGACACCGACAACGCUAUGUCAGUGUUAGCAGCAGCGGCGACAGCGAUGAAGUUGACCUCGCCGAAGAGGACACGCACAACGGUGGUGGUGAUCUCACCUCGUCAGUGGAUGAGCGCUUCAGGCGACGUAGUCGCACGACAAGUGUGCCACUAGCACUGACAGAGGGGGAGCGGCAUUAUCUAUCUCACGUCGCGGAACGAAGUGGGCUGAAGUUUGUCGAGGACGCUUACGCCAGCGACGUAAGCGCCGACGACGGCAUCCACGGCGGCAUGUUCUCCGACACCUCUUCGUCGUCCACGUCGAGUCGAUCCCCUUAUCGGGCGACGGUGGCGCCACUGGUCCAGCGGCAUCCGCGCAGUCCCGCAAGGGUAAGUUAUGCUUUGCCGUCACCGAAACACACCCCACUGCACGGCCCCCUCGCGUCCCCAUCUCCCUCUCCCAACGGGCGGGUGCUGCGCAGCUCACAGACUACUGCUUCUGCGUCUUUGCUUGCUUUGCCAAACACGUCUCCCCUGAUCCGCCACGCCGGUGGCGUCGAUCGCCUCUUGAACGUGGGCAGCGGUACCCCAAAAAGCGAGAGCACCGCGGCAGAGGACGCAAAGGACGACGAUGAGGAUGAUAUGAUUGGUGCGUGGCGACCGGAGGAUCUUCGGCAUCUGCAUCACCACCGACGGGGCAGCGGGCACCGGCGCGAGCGCCACAUUCUGCAGAAGCGGCUGCGUGCGCAGGAGGGGGCGUUGAUGGCGUUGGCCACCGAUUCGCUACACCGACAACCACGCAAACUGCGUGUCGCUCGUGCAGGCGCAGCGCCGUGCGGCAGCGACGCAGCGGUGGGAGAGGCGGAGGCGAAGCGCCUCCACGUAACUCCGUGUGCUGAUGGCGCGCACCCCAGUACCUCCACAGCUGCGGCAGCCUAUGCGUACAUGGGGCCUUCACAGUCGCUGCUCACUCCGCAGGUGGUAGCUCAGGCGGAGAGCUUGCUUGUCCUUAAUUGGCGCCGUCCGCGGCGCGGAAAGGACGGUGCUGCGAACGCGUUUGUAUGCCCAUACUGCGCUGACUACACAACGCUGGCCAGCCAGCGUGGGUUGUGGGCACAUGCGAUGCGGAUGCAUGCCGAGGAGGUGGCCAAGGCUCGCGCGCGCGUUGUGGAGGCGGAGGCGGCACCGGUAGAGGAAGGUCUCGGACACGAGUCAGGAGAAGGCAAGACGUUGCCUUGAGUGAUGAACACAAUCCUAGUGGCGCGCGCUUAGGGGAGACCAGAGACUGUGCCCAUCGGUACUUGCACUGUGCUUGCUUUUCAAAGCAGGAAAGGUGCUGCUGGGGUCCGUGGGCACGGGUGUCUGCGCUCGUUCCCCACCCGCAUGCACGCUUUAAUCGUUUAAGCACUGGCGGGGGUGCCGCCCUCCGCAGGUUUUGAGCCGCGCUCUGCUGACGGGGUCAGCGAGGGGGCACCCGAAAGGUGACGAAACAAGAACGAAUGCUUUGAAAAGCGGAGAAGCAGGCGCUGCGCUGUGUAGCAUCCCGAGAACCCCUUGAACGUUGCUGACGUGCUCAAUCAACGGCGCGCCGCCCAGAAGGGAAAGGGAGAAAGGGAGGGAGAGCAAACACCGAAAGCACACGCUGGUAAGCGCGGCGAGGUGCCACCGCGCGCU